rnacentral:lncRNA from 1 species
AAUCUAUACUCUUAUAUAAAUCCCCAAUAUGAAAUGAUGACGUGGCAAGCUCUCAUUUUUUUUAAUUUACGUUUCAUCUCCACUUCUAAAUGCUCAACCUUUCACCUCUCCACAUUUAAUUACAUGCAUCAUAUUCCACGAAUUAGUGAGCUUAAUUUGUAACUUUAAUCCACUCCCCUCCACCAUUAAUCCCCCCACUCCCUCUUUUUUGCAUGACAUGUUAUGAAUCCCCAAUAUGAAAUGAUGAUUUGGCAAGCUCUCAUUUUUUUUAAUUUACGUUUCAUCUCCACUUCUAAAUGCUCAACCCUUCACCUCUCCACAUUUAAUUAUAUGCAUCAUAUUCCACCAAUCAGUGAGCUUAAUUUGUAACUCCAAUCCACUCCCCUCCACCAUUAAUCCCGCCAACCCCUCUUUUUUGCAUGACAUAUUAUUUUCCAUGCAAAAAAGAAGAUUAUCAUCUAAUCUCUCACCUUACACUCAUCUCCUUCUCUCUAUCUCAUUGUAUUAACAAAGAUUAUGAGGAUAAUGAAGAAGAAGAGCAUGCGAAGAACGUUGUCUCCUUGAAGAAGUAUCG